AUGAACGCUGGCGGCGUGCCUAAUACAUGCAAGUCGAGCGAACAGACGAGGAGCUUGCUCCUCUGACGUUAGCGGCGGACGGGUGAGUAACACGUGGAUAACCUACCUAUAGACUGGGAUAACUUCGGGAAACCGGAGCUAAUACCGGAUAAUAUAUUGAACCGCAUGGUUCAAUAGUGAAAGACGGUUUUGCUGUCACUUAUAGAUGGAUCCGCGCCGCAUUAGCUAGUUGGUAAGGUAACGGCUUACCAAGGCAACGAUGCGUAGCCGACCUGAGAGGGUGAUCGGCCACACUGGAACUGAGACACGGUCCAGACUCCUACGGGAGGCAGCAGUAGGGAAUCUUCCGCAAUGGGCGAAAGCCUGACGGAGCAACGCCGCGUGAGUGAUGAAGGUCUUCGGAUCGUAAAACUCUGUUAUUAGGGAAGAACAAAUGUGUAAGUAACUAUGCACGUCUUGACGGUACCUAAUCAGAAAGCCACGGCUAACUACGUG
rnacentral:rRNA from 1 species